rnacentral:rRNA from 1 species
AACGAACGCUGGCGGCAGGCCUAACACAUGCAAGUCGAGCGCGCCCUUCGGGGUGAGCGGCGGACGGGUGAGUAACGCGUGGGAACGUGCCCUUUUCUACGGAAUAGCCUCGGGAAACUGAGAGUAAUACCGUAUACGCCCUUUGGGGGAAAGAUUUAUCGGAAAAGGAUCGGCCCGCGUUGGAUUAGGUAGUUGGUGGGGUAAUGGCCUACCAAGCCGACGAUCCAUAGCUGGUUUGAGAGGAUGAUCAGCCACACUGGGACUGAGACACGGCCCAGACUCCGACGGGAGGCAGCAGUGGGGAAUCUUAGACAAUGGGGGCAACCCUGAUCUAGCCAUGCCGCGUGAGUGAUGAAGGCCUUAGGGUUGUAAAGCUCUUUCAGCUGGGAAGAUAAUGACGGUACCAGCAGAAGAAGCCCCGGCUAACUCCGU